rnacentral:rRNA from 1 species
UACGUAGGGAGCAAGCGUUGUCCGGAAUCAUUGGGCGUAAAGCGCGCGUAGGUGGCCAUGUAAGUCCGCUGUGAAAGUCAAAGGCUCAACCUUUGAAAGCCGGUGGAUACUGCAUGGCUAGAGUACGGAAGAGGGCGAGUGGAAUUCCUGGUGUAGCGGUGGAAUGCGCAGAUAUCAGGAGGAACACCGGUGGCGAAGGCGGUUCUCUGGGCAUGUCCUGACGCUGAGGAGCGAAAGUGUGGGGAGCGAACAGG